UUUCGCCUACGGGGGGCAGCAGUGAGGAAUAUUGGUCAAUGGGCGAGAGCCUGAACCAGCCAAGUCGCGUGAGGGAGUACUGCCCUAUGGGUUGUAAACCUCUUUUGUCGGGGAGCAAAAGCCGGACGUGUCCGUCUGUGAGAGUACCCGAAGAAAAAGCAUCGGCUAACUCCGUGCCAGCAGCCGCGGUAAUACGGAGGAUGCGAGCGUUAUCCGGAUUUAUUGGGUUUAAAGGGUGCGUAGGCGGGCUUUUAAGUCAGCGGUAAAAAUUCGGGGCUCAACCCCGUCCGGCCGUUGAAACUGGG
rnacentral:rRNA from 1 species